UGAAGAGGUAAACAAACCAGAACGCCAGCUAAGGUCCCAAAGUCAUGGUUAAGUGUGAACAGAGGUGGGAAGGCACAGACAGACAGGAUGUUGGCUUAGAAGCAGCCAUCAUUAAAAGAAAGCGUAAUAGCUCACUGGACGAGACGGCCUGCGCGGAAGAUGUAACGGGGCUAAACCAAGCACCGAAGCUGCUGCAGCGACACUCUGUGUUGUUGGGUAGGGGAGCGUUCUG
rnacentral:rRNA from 1 species